rnacentral:sRNA from 1 species
UUUCUAAAACUACGAAAUAAAGUUGGUAAAGCAAAUAAUAUAACGAUUGUGUUUUUCUUUUUUUUUGAAAUCCAGGAGGUUCUGGACCGAAGCCUCUAAUUCCCCAGGUCCAAAACCACAGCAUGUAAUAUUAGUUUCGUCCCAAGCGUCACUCGAACCGGCGACUUCUAAGUUUCGCGUAGGAUUUUUACCAAUUGAGCUAACGACACUUGGUAUAGCGAUUGUGUUUUGCUUGUUAGUUUUUAAGUGUUUUUCUUUUUUUGAAUUUUGUCUUUUUUA